CUCUCCCCCGUGCAACACCAGCCCCUUCGCCACUGUCAGGGUGAUGGUGAUGAGCCUUUCCAAAAAGAGGGGGAGAAAUGACCUGCCUUAAGAUAAAUGCGUGAAACGGGCGCCCCUUGGCCGCUGGAAUAUCUCUGUCUUUAUAUAAAGAAGCACCGCGAGCCACCUCACUCCAGGCAAGCCCUUAGCCAAGAAGCCACAAGAGCGCCCGGCGGGAUCAGCAACAGCAAGGGCACCGGGAGGGCUUCCCUCCUUCCUCCUCGGUGACUUUCCAGGUUGGACCCUCUUCUGAUAUGUGAUCUACAGCAAGCUACUUCGAAUCGUAUGAUGACAAUGUUAUCACUGCCACAUCUCUGGGAACCAGUUAUUCAUAAGUACACGGAAGUGUAAGAACAGUAUGCUUCCUGGCGUACAGCACCGUCUAAACUGCAAAGGUUUCAGUUCCAUGGCAACAUGAAGAGCCUGAAUGUGCUGAAGGUGUAUGUAUUAAUGCAUUCAGAGUGAGGGAUUGGGAGUGAGCAGGGGAAAAACAAA